GGAGUUUUCAUCCCCGGUGGCGAAGUGGUUGUUACGUAUAACAGGAGAGAGAUUCGCAGCGGAGCGUGAACUCAACGCUUGAUUUGAUGGGAGACAACAGCUCUGUCACCGCCGCACCAUCUCCGUCGUCGGAAAAAACUUCCGCCAUCGAGGACGCACUUCUCAAGCAAUUCUUCGCAGAGGUCAGCGAGGUUGAGCGCGACAACGAAGUUAUAAGGAUACUUUCAUGCUUCAAGUUGAAUCCAUUUGAAUACCUUAACCUGUCAUUUGACUCAUCCAUUGACGAAGUUAAAAGGCAAUAUCGUAAGUUGUCUUUGCUAGUUCACCCUGAUAAAUGCAAGCAUCCACAAGCAAAGGAGGCAUUUGGUGCCUUAGCUAAAGCGCAACAGUUAUUACUUGAUCAACAGGAGAGGGAUUACAUUCUGAGCCAAGUUGUUGCAGCAAAAGAAGAAUUAAGAUCAAAGUGGAAGAAGCAGCUCAAAAAAGAUACUGCUAGCAAAUUGAAGUCAUUAGUUACUGAGGGUAAAUAUGACCAAGAACAUGAGCAGUCAGAGGAAUUCCAGCAGCAGCUUAAGUUAAAGGUUAGAGAAAUAUUGACAGAUCAAGAAUGGCGGAGGAGAAAAAUGGCAAUGAGGAUAUCUGAAGAAGAAGGUCGCUUGAAGAAAGAUGAGGAAGAAACAAAAGAGUUGUGGAAAAGGAAGCGUGAGCAUGAAGAGCAGUGGGAAGGAACUAGAGAAAACAGGGUGUCCAGUUGGAGAGAUUUCAUGAAGGGAGGAAAGAAGGUUAAGAAAGGAGAAAUUCGACCUCCAAAGUUGAAAACAGAAGAUCCCAAUAAAUCUUACGUUCAACGACCUGUGAAACGAGGCUAAAACACAUGUACGCAACUAGUUUUGUUUCAGUGAUAUUUAAAGCUUGUAUCAAUUUGUAUCGGUAGCUAACUUAAUUAUUCUGCAGCAAAAUAUAUUUAGCAUUCUAUUUUAGAUGUAUAUUAUAUUAGACAAGUACAUACAAGGGGGGGAGCCCCCUUAAUUAUUGCAUUUGACAUAGAUUUCUGUUUAUGAA
rnacentral:misc_RNA from 1 species